UCCGAGUUGUCCCCGGCAGUCCUUUUAGAGUCCCCGGCAUUACCCGCUGGCAACUAAAAGCAGGGGUUGCGCUCGUUGCGGCACUUAACCCAACAUCUCACGACACGAGCUGACGACAGCCAUGCAGCACCUGUGCAAAUGUCUAGGGUUUCCCCUAGAAAACUCUAUCUCUAGAGCGAUCAUAAGCAUGUCAAACCUAGGUAAGGUUCCUCGCGUAGUGUCGAAUUAAACCACAUGUUCCACCGCUUGUGCGGACCCCCGUCGAUUCCUUUGAGUUUUAACCUUGCGGCCGUACUCCCCAGGCGGAUGACUUAACGCGUUAGCUGCGCCACCGGAACGCUAAGCGCCCCGACAGCUAGUCAUCAUCGUUUACGGCGUGGACUAC
rnacentral:misc_RNA from 1 species